rnacentral:tRNA from 2 species
GGGGUGUUAGCUCAGUUGGGAGAGCGCAACGCUGGCAGCGUUGAGGUCAGGGGUUCGAACCCCCUACACUCCACCAU